GUUGAUGCUGUAUUCAUCUCUGAGACUGUCUCAUUGGUCAAAGUCAGAUUACACUGAAAGCACGAUGGCUGCAUUCACAUGGAUUCAAAUGUCUUCAUUACUGAUACUGAUGCUUCAGUUUAAAGCUGAUGUUUUUUCUUGCGAGAUGACUCUGAUGACUACUUUGGUCACAAAAGUUUUGCAGUGACUGAGUUUAAACCCUGCAGACACUGAGCCUGGUCCAGGAACCAGUCAGGAGAUGUUUUCUGGUGGUGAUGAUGAUGAUGAUCAUGAUGAUGAUGGUGGUGGCGACAGUGUGACUUACAUCACUGUGAAAGCUUCCUCCUUUCCCACUGGAGUUCCCACUCAUCCCAGCGACCUCUCUUCCACCACGGACAAACCAUAGAAACAGUAUGUUGCUAAUGAAAGGUCGCGUGCUGUUUUUCCUUGAUGCUGAUGAAUGUUUGUUUGAUAGAGUAACUUCCUUUUUCUUCCCUUUGAAAAAUAUAUUUGGUAUAAAGUUAUACACAUCACCUGUCAUGUUUUUAAAAAAGAAAAUUACUGUUGUUUAGUUUAAGCACAUUAUUAGAGCUAAAUAUUCAUCUUUAAUUUGAUGCCUUCACAGAACGCUUUGAUUAAACUGCUUCAUCUCAGCUGUUACAACAUGUAGCGUCUCAGUUCAGUAAACUCAAACAGUCUCUGCAGUUGGUUGAUUUACUUUCUACAGUUUGAUUAGUUUGUUUUAGUUGUAGUUGUUAUUAACCAAACUCCUCAAGUAGCAGUGACUGUUUUAAGGGCUCCGAUGCCAACAGACUGAGCUUUUUUAGUCCAUACUAAACUUUCUAGUAUAAAUAUACCUGUAUGUGCACUGUAAAUAUGAUCUGUGUUACUGAAUGACAUAGUUUACAGUAGUUUAUUAUGUGUCUUGUUUGCUGCCUUUAUUCAUUAUAUAAACAUAAUAUUGAGUAUUUUGGUCUUUAGUUCUUGUUAUAGUUUAGUCUCAGUUUUACUGUUGAAUUUGUUCUCUUAGAGUUUCCUGUCACAUCUUCUUGUGCCAAUUUUCUUAUGUUAAGUUCAUUCAUGUGUCUGUUCCCACAUUUAGUUAUGGUUCUCACUUCCUGUUUUAUUGUCUUUGUGUUUAGUUUUACUAAUUAAAUUGUCUUUGAUUAGUUUCACUUACAUUUCAUCAACCAGCCGUGUUCACUUCCUGUAAUUAUGAUACUCUCGUUUAUAAGUAGUGUUGUCUUUCUUUCACUCUUUGCCUUAAUGUUUCUUAUCCUGCCUGUGAUUU
ensembl:lncRNA